rnacentral:rRNA from 1 species
AUUGAACGCUGGCGGCAUGCUUUACACAUGCAAGUCGAACGGUAACAGGCCUUCGUGUGCUGACUAGUGUUGAACGGGUGCGUAAUGCUUCGGAACGUACCCAGUGGUUGUGGAUAACGCAUCGAAAGCUGUGCUAAUACCUCAUGUGAUCUGAUAUUUUGAGCGGCGUACCUCGCAGCAAUGUUUCGCCUCGCGCCUUUCGUAUGGCCGAUGUCGGAUUAGCUAGUUGGUUGGGUAAAGGCCUACCAAGGCGACGAUCCGUAGCUGGUCUGAGAGGACGACCGGCCACACUGGAACUGAGACACGGCCCAGACUCCUACGGGAGGCAGCAGUGGGGAAUUUUGGGCAAUGGGCGCAAGCCUGAUCCAGCAAUGCCGCGUGAGGGAAGAAGGCCUUCGGGUUGUAAACCGCUGUUAGCAGGAAAGAAAAGAUGUCUGCGAAAACGGGGAGAUAAUGACGGUACCUGAAGAAAAAGCAACGGCUAACUACGUG